rnacentral:rRNA from 1 species
UACGUAGGGGGCAAGCGUUGUCCGGAAUCAUUGGGCGUAAAGCGCGUGUAGGCGGCUCGGUAAGUCCGCUCUGAAAGUCCAGGGCUCAACCCUGGGAUGCGGGUGGAUACUGCCGGGCUCGAGUCCGGAAGAGGCGAGUGGAAUUCCUGGUGUAGCGGUGGAAUGCGCAGAUAUCAGGAGGAACACCAAUAGCGAAGGCAGCUCGCUGGGACGGUACUGACGCUAAGGCGCGAAAGCGUGGGGAGCGAACAGG